rnacentral:SRP_RNA from 1 species
UGGCUGUAACAGCUCGAUGAGUUUUUAAUGAACCCCGCCAGAGUCGGAAGGCAGCAACGGUGUUUAAAAGUUUAGGUGAGUGACGUUGCAGUCACCC